GACGAACGCUGGCGGCGUGCUUAACACAUGCAAGUCGAACGGAAAGGCCCUGCUUUUGUGGGGUGCUCGAGUGGCGAACGGGUGAGUAACACGUGAGUAACCUGCCCUGGACUUUGGGAUAACUUCAAGAAACUGGGGCUAAUACCGGAUAGGAGCUCCUGCUGCAUGGUGGGGGUUGGAAAGUUUCGGCGGUUGGGGAUGGACUCGCGGCUUAUCAGCUUGUGGGUGGGGUAGUGGCUUACCAAGGCUUUGACGGGUAGCCGGCCUGAGAGGGUGAGCGGCGAGAGUGGGACUGAGAUACGGCCCAGACUCCUACGGGAGGAAGCAGUGGGGAAUAUUGCACAAUGGGCGGAAGCCUGAUGCAGCAACGCCGCGUGCGGGAUGACGGCCUUCGGGUUGGAACCCGAUUUCGCCUGUGACGAAGCGUGAGUGACGGUAAUGGGUAAAGAAGCACCGGCUAACUACGUG
rnacentral:rRNA from 1 species